CCUACGGGAGGCAGCAGUGGGGAAUAUUGGGCAAUGGAGGCAACUCUUACCCAGCAAUGCCGCGUGAAUGAAGAAGGUCUUCGGAUUGUAAAGUUCUUUAAUUGGGGACGAAAAAAAUGACGGUACCCAAGGAAUAAGCCCCGGCUAACUACGUGCCAGCAGCCGCGGUAAUACGUAGGGGGCAAGCGUUGUUCGGAAUGACUGGGCGUAAAGGGUGUGUAGGCGGUGUAGCAAGUUAGAAGUGAAAUACCUAGAGCUUAACUCAGGUGCUGCUUCUAAAACUGCUAUACUUGAGUGCAGUAGAGGAAAGUGGAAUUCCUAGUGUAGCGGUGGAAUGCGUAGAUAUCACGCAGAACCCCGAUUGCGAAGGCAGCAUACCGGUGCACAACUGACGCUCAGGCACGAAAGCGUGGGUAUCGAACAGGAUUAGAUACCCCGGUAGUC
rnacentral:rRNA from 1 species